ensembl:lncRNA
AAAAAUAAUAUUGAAGGAGGAACUACAAAUUGAAAAAUGGAUUAUUGGUGUCCACAUUCUUAUAUGACAAAAGUGAAGCCUACUGACAUGGCCCUGAUUGAUUUUCACAGAAUGCUUGUUUUGUUUUACUGAAUCUUCAAGCAUAUUAGUACCACAUAUUUAAUAACUGAGAAUAGUGACACCUACUUACUGGGUGUCCAUGAAAGCUACUGGUGGAAACACAGAAGUAGAAGUUACAAUACAUUCAAGAGUCUAGAUAAUUUAUAAUCCAUUCUAGGAGGAAAGGAAUAUACAUGACAGCCAUGUUUAUUGCUAUUUGUUUAUUCAUUUAUUUAUUCAAGUAUUGACUGAGUACCUGAAAACUUUAAGCUUCAACUCCAGGCCCUGUGUGACACAAUGGGGAGGAGAUAGGUAAAAUCUGCCCAAUGAGUUACACAAUCAAAGGACUAUAAUUUGGAGGUUCAGCAGAGGAGAAAUGUCUUUGGAAAGGUUCUUGGCUUUGAAGUUUAGGUAAGUUUUGAGACUGAAGUUGGGUUAGGGGAGAUUUGUUAGGUGUAGGAAAAGGAAUGAACAAUGGCACAGAAAUGAGAAUUCUCAGGGUUGACUGGGUUAAGAAGAGAAAAUGUCUGAUCUCAUAUUUCUUGCAUCCAUUGCCUGGGACAAGAGGAGAUCAGUGGAGAUCUAGAGGAGCCCAAGAACUCUAAAACCUUCAACACAAUAUUAUUACCGUGAUCAAACUCAAAAUUAUGGAUGGCUUGUUCAAGGCUCCUCCAAGUUUGUAAGUUAAUGGUCAUGUAUGGAUGUGAGAGUUGGACUAUAAAGAAAGCUGAGCACUGAAGAAUUGAUGCUUUUGAACUGUUGGAGAAGACUCCAUUCCAUACUCAUUAGCUGAAUCAAUAAGAAAUAUAAAGGCAAGGAACAAAGUGAGUCACUUUACACAGGGUUAUUUUUAGGACUUUAAUCUUGCCUUCAAGAGUUUCUGGAUUUCUCA